rnacentral:rRNA from 1 species
GGGGAAUAUUGCACAAUGGGGGAAACCCUGAUGCAGCCAUGCCGCGUGUGUGAAGAAGGCCUUCGGGUUGUAAAGCACUUUCAGUCAGGAGGAAGGUGGUGUAGUUAAUAUCUGCACCAAUUGACGUUACUGACAGAAGAAGCACCGGCUAACUCCGUGCCAGCAGCCGCGGUAAUACGUAGGGGGCGAGCGUUGUCCGGAAUUAUUGGGCGUAAAGGGUGCGUAGGCGGCUGAACAAGUCAGAUGUGAAAGGUUAAGGCUUAACUUUAAUAAGCAUAUGAAACUGUUCAGCUUGAGUUAAGGAGAGGGGAGUGGAAUUCCUAGUGUAGCGGUGAAAUGCGUAGAUAUUAGGAGGAAUACCAGUGGCGAAGGCGACUCUCUGGACUUAAACUGACGCUGAGGCACGAAAGCGUGGGGAGCAAACA